GGAAAUUAUCACCAAUUAUGUUAAGGUAUGUCCCAAAGUAGUUAUGAUUUAUACUUACACCUGUAUUCUAAGAGCUCACUCACACUCAAAGAGUGGAGGUUCAAUCUGAGUGUCAUUGCUGUUUUUGAAUAGCUGGAGGGUGAGUAGUCACAUAGUACGGUACGCCACUAACCCUCUAGCUAUUCAAAAACAGCAUUGACCCUCGAGGAAAGCUCAGAUCGAAUACAGGUGUGUUAGUCUUCCUAUGAUUAUGUAUAAUGAGUAAAAGGAUUUAAGCCCCCGUUUACACUACGCUCAAUUUUUGGUACGGCACGGAUAAAAUUGGUACCCCUACCACUUUCUUUGCUUCUUGGACUACCUAUUUAGCUAAGCCCCGUUUACACUACGCUCAAUUUUUGGUACCGUACCACUUUUUGGUUCUUGGACUACCUAAAUAGGUAAUCCAAGAACCAAAAAAGUGGUACGGGUACCAAUUUUAUCCGUAGUGUAAACAGGGCUUUAUAUUCACUCCUUUAAAGAGGUUAUGCGGCCCACUUACUCUGUCUAAUGGCAGACGAUUUUACUCGUCAAGGGAAGCGCGCUGUCACUUAAUGGGUUAACAUUAAAUCGUCAUCUAGUUCACAUAUAGUACCUUACUUGCAUGCAUGCAUGCAAGUAUGCAGGUGACGCAAACAAACGAUCUUGUCUAUACGCUGUCUCUAUAUCGAUGAGCUUAUUUAACUCUUGGAGAAAAUCCAAUAGAAAACGUCUAUAUAUUGACACACUGUUAAGUAUUUUUAUAUUCAAGUAAGACCUGGAACCUUAUUUUUCUUAUAUACUGUAAUUCUUCAUUUCUUUAUUUUGUAGAAAAAUGUUCAACACAUCACUUUAUACAACGAAAUAUCGGUUCGACUAUUAAUUGAAAUGAUGAAUGAUGAUAUGUGUACACUAACUUCAUUGUGGUGUCUCCACUAUUCUGAUCACGGGCCGGAAUUGACGCUAUGAAUUGUUCGUGAAUUUGUACGCCAGUCGCCAGUCAAUUAAUAUUGCUAUUAAAGUGGAUUUUUUGCGAUUUCACAAGUUCCUUGAAAUACGACUGUUAAUUAUUCGAGGACAAGACUAACGUAUAUUGAUUAUCCUUCAUUAUUGGUACCUUUACAACGAACAUCGCCAUCUCUACUGGACCGAGUACUGGUAAAUCAAUGAACUAAUUGAACUAUCGAGACUUCAUAAAAAUAAACAUUAUAAAAGCUUACAGAAAUGGUUUCCAUGCAUUAAAGAACUUGCCAAAUUUGCUUUGUUCAGAUGCAAGAUUUGGUCCGUGAUUAUAUAAUCAUAAUUCAUACUCACAUUGAAUAUUUAAACUUCAAAUAGUCCUAGUGAUUGUUUCAGAAUUUUGUUCUAAUGCGAUGUAUACUGUAGAAAAAUCUGUAAUUCUUGUAUUGCAUAAUGAUACUUCGAUGCGUAUCUGCAAGUAUUGCUAACUUGAACUGUCAGCUCUUUCUGUACUAUUUCUCCUCAAUAAAGUC